UCCUUCCUCCUCCGGCCAAGCGCGCCACUGCCCCCGCUCCUCCUUCUUCCUUCGGCCAAGCAGCGCGCCAUUGCCGACGGCGCGCCUUACCUCAUGCGUGGCCGUGGCCCCUGCCGCACCCCCACCGCUACCCUAUCCGUGGAUCCCCGCGGCGCGACAUGGAGGUCGCCACCUCCCGCGGCCAUGGCGAACACCUCCGCCGCUGGGCUAGCUCUAGCGCCGCCCCCUCACCUGCCCUCCCCCUCCAGCAACUCUACUAGCACGCCCGACGCUCCCUCCGGCGAGCAGCUCCGCGCCACACGAUAGUUCCCCCCAUGCCUAUGGUCCUUUGCAUCCAGCACUGCUAACACGCAACCUCUUCUACGGUUUCUCUUCAUUAUGGCAUUCAGUUGCGGUUCAACAAGAAUAACAGGAGCAGUACAUACAUCUCUUUUCCCUCUACUGCUCUUUUCUCUCACUAAUUUGUUUCUCUCUGUAGUGCAGCACGAGGGAGGUUGGACGGAUUGCAAGAAAAAAAAGCUCAGUUCUACAGGCAGCGCCCGCCGCCCACACGGACUACUUCCUCCUGUCCUCGUCCAGGUAUCGGGCUCACAUCAGUCCAACUAUUCCUCACUUAUCCGUCUGAGCUCCUCCUGCCAUGCUCCUUCACAUAUGAGCUUUUGCCGGCACUGGUGCACGCCGCCACACGUUCAAAGUGUCUAUUGGAAAAAGUUCAGAAGUUUGGUUCCAUAAAAAGUUGCACUUGUUCAUCUGGAAAAGAUCAUGAAAGUUGAGAAGUCAAGGUGCCUAGCACUUAUUUGAUGAAAUGGCAAGCUAAACAAACAUAUUACAGAUGCAGAUAUCAACUUAGCUCAGUUGUGCAUAUGACAGCAUGAUCUAACUUUCCCCCCAAUCUGAUGUGAUUUUAUUUGUAUCAAAUGAACUCACAGAAAAGUUGCACACAAAGAGCAUCUUCUAAAAUGGUUUAAGAUCUAUUUUAUAAUUUGCCAGAUAAAGAAAUUUAUAUAGUACUCUUUAAUCAUUUUGUAGUCCCUCUAGAAUGUUUGUUGAUGGUUAGCAAUAAGCAGACCAAAGCAGGGACAAUUCUUUCACUUGUAUGAGACGAACAUAUUUGAUUUCUCAUGAAACCUGUAAAAGUCUAAUUUCAUAACCUUAAGAAAUUACCAAAUGGAUGAGCAAAGUAGUAUUACCACUGUACUGAAUAUUCUGCAGUGGUUAGUAUACUAGAGAGUAAAACUGUGCCAUAUUGUUUGGUUUAAUUUCUGUUUAGUUUUGUGUUCUGUUGUUUUCCCUAGUUGAUCCAUGUGUUAUUGCUUCUAUGUUGUGCACUUCUAAUUCCAUCAUGAAGGAAAGAAGAUAAGCGAGCUAAGUACUUGUUUGGAAAGUUGGUAAGUUCGUACACAUAAACCUAAAGAAGUUCAUUGAAAAAGUUUGGUUUCGUUUAAAAAUAUGUGAUUUUUGGUUGGAAAAUCAUUGAGGAAAUAGUUAAUUUUUGCUAACUCCUGCAGUUCUCUGGUUGGAAAAUUAAUGGUUCAAUUUGCUGAGUCCUUUGGUCUACAAAUUUAUUUCUGUUUGUAUGUAAGUGGCUUAGGCAACAGAAAAAAGCGAGCAGUUCUGUUCAAGGGAGUUCAAAAAUUAACAUACAUGAAGUUCUUGAUUAUUUCGGUUAUUUUGUAUGAUUUAUUUUUUUGCAAAAUCUUGAUGUCAUUUUGCCUUGCAGAUAAAUUUUUUACUGAGUGUACUGGGUCCCUACUGGCUGUAGCAGCUUACUUUAAAGAACUGAACCUUACUGUCUCCAGAUUAGCAUAGAAACUAGGGACGCGGAGUUUGUGAUCCCGAGCACACAGGUGCUCGUUAUCUUAGCCGCUGAGAAUAGCAUCGCGAUGGGUGCAUUGAAUUCUUGUCAGGGACUAUGGUCAUUUGUUAAUGUGGUAAAGCAGACAUACGGGCGCCGAGGUAAGUGACGGCCACGGGACGGCGUCGACGGUUUGAAUCCGAGCCGUGGCUCGUGACGUCACGUGCGUCCUGAUCCGCGGGCCAGAAAACAUGCUUUCCGGUUAGGAGAAGAACCAUCAUGGUUCCUGGAGGAGGUCAAUGCCAACGAGAUUCCGAUUGAGCUUCUGCAGUAUCCAGUACUAGCACCUGCGCCAGAAUUGCCUACGCAGUUGUCAAUGGAGGAGCUGCUGCCUUGGCAGCGGACAUCGGCGUGGGUCAAAUCUGUGCGGCGGUGGGGGUGGCGGACGGUGACAUUGCACUCUAACAGACGCAAGCGUCAGAACAGUCUGAGUAGAUCGGCCCAAAAGCGCCUGGAUGGACACAAAGGUUUAUUUGGAACAUUUUUUUUCUGUUGGGGAGCGGCAAUGGAUCUCAGCGGCCUGGAAUGUAGGGGAUGGGCUUGAGUCCCGUCGGAGAAGAUUGGUUGGUACAACCGUGCGAUCCGAAUAAAUCUGCUCACAUGACGCCGUCAGUCCAGAAUCAGAGAGAUGCUCGCCCAUAUUGUUUCCUUCCAUCCGAGCCACGCGGAAACUGACUGACGCCGUAAUACUUCGUUGUUGUCAGUUGUGGGUCAUUGGUUCUGCAUAAGAUAUCAGUACAUUAACUAUACCUGCCAGAAUGCGUGUUGCAUUGGCUAUCUCGGUGCGAGGGUACGGCAGGGAUAUCGAGACUAUGUGUGCUCGGGCUCACAACAACACUUUCGAGAAACUAGUUAUUACUUUCUUAGUUAAAAGAAGUGUAUACACUUUACUAUUUAUAGAUUCAGAUUGUCGGAACAAGUUCUCAUA